ACGUUGAAACACCGGUUCCCGUACGAUAACCAAAGUUAAGCAACGUCGAGCCUCAGCAGUACCUAGAUGGGUGACCACUUG
rnacentral:rRNA from 1 species